rnacentral:lncRNA from 1 species
GGUCUUUUACGUCGGCCUUCGCGAGCGUCUGGGCGGGUGGUAGGUGAGUGGGUAUUGCGGGCUAGUAUCCGAGCAAAAGAUGGUGGCGCAGGCCGAGUUAAGAGCUUUAAUCCUGUGAAGACAUCUUAGUGAAGAGUUUAGAGUGCUGAGAGUUGAAAGCUUGCACGUGGGAAACGUGCGGCCGGACUGCCACAUGUACUGAGGUUGAGUCGUGACGGCCACAGGCUCCGAGUUUUGGCGUGAGGAACCGCUGAUCGGCCACGGGCGCCGAACUUGCUGGCCUCCGGCAUGUGCCUGAGCGGCGGCGGAAAAACCACCUUAAUUGGGGCGGAGGGUUAGUUUUAACAGCAAAGGGCCUUUACUAAAAUGGCGAAGGCCUUCCGUCGGCGUUGUUUUAAAAUGGGAAGCCUCGACCCUGUAUUGAAACUGAGCUGUUCGAAGGCGGCGUUGUGUGCAAUUCGGAUUAAUGAAGGGGAAGGGUUUUGUGUGGAAAAACGCCUUGGAGUGUGACAUUUCUGCGAGAAUGCUUAAAUACCGAUUUCCCGCAGGAACAAUGGCGCUGUCUUCAGUGGCACAGUGGAGCAGCUCUGAAGAUGCAAAGGUAAGAGCUUAGUUAAGCUUAGUUUCCAAACUAAAGGAGUAAACCUGUUGAUUUACAGGAAUAGGAACUGUUGCAUCGUUUGAAAUUUACUUUUUUUUGUUAGAUACACGAAAAAACUUCCAGAACAUCUGGGAGAAUAUUUAAUGGAAAAUCGCUUGGUUAAAACCUGACACUUUUAACAGUGAACAGCGUUCUGAGUGUGGACGAGUAGCCAGUGAAGAUAAUGAAUGUCGAAUGUGACUGACUAGCAGCUUCAUUUUGAAUGAGGGUCGCUGUCUGCCCAUUGAUAGAGGCCAGAUUGUCUUGGAAGUUCCAAAGUUGCAACGAUUUCUGUAAGUGGAGUUUUUCUGUUUGCUUAGAGAUCAGUGAAUAUUGUGUCCUUGGUCUUAUCUGUGAUGAUCUUAUCCCGAACCUGAACUUCUGUUGAAAAAAAAAAACUUUUACGGAUCUGGCUUCUGAGAUGGACCGUUAUAAGGACAAUAUUUUUUUUUAAUACUUUUAAUGCUUUUACAUAUGUUGUAAUGUUUGUAGUCUUGUAAGAAUCUCGUGUUUUUCCUUUUCUAGGGCUAGUGCCACGAGGUUUACUUGACUGUUGUGUGAAAAGCUGAUAAGAAAACCAUCCAGAAAAAAGCUCUUCGUUUUACAAACAUGAAAAUAAAACAUGUAAUUUUGGAUUA